rnacentral:rRNA from 1 species
GGAGUUAGCCGGUGCUUCUUCUGUGAGUGAUGUCCUUCCUGCCGGCUAUUAACCCGCAGGCCUUCUUCCUCACUGAAAGUGCUUUACAACCCGAAGGCCUUCUUCACACACGCGGCAUGGCUGGAUCAGGGUUGCCCCCAUUGUCCAAUAUUCCCCACUGCUGCCUCCCGUAGGAGUCUGGGCCGUGUCUCAGUCCCAGUGUGGCUGAUCAUCCUCUCAGACCAGCUACGGAUCGUCGCCUUGGUGAGCCGUUACCUCACCAACCAGCUAAUCCGACAUAGGCUCAUCCGAUAGCGCGAGGCCCGAAGGUCCCCCGCUUUCCCCCGUAGGGCGUAUGCGGUAUUAGCCUGGGUUUCCCCCAGGUUAUCCCCCACUACCGGGCAGAUUCCUAUGCAUUACUCACCCGUCCGCCGCUCGCCACCAGGGAGCAAGCUCCCCGUGCUGCCGCUCGACUUGCAUGUGUUAGGCCUGCCGCCAGCGUUCAAUCUGACGACAUCGAAUCAACUCUGA